rnacentral:rRNA from 1 species
GAUGAACGCUGGCGGCGUGCCUAAUACAUGCAAGUCGAGCGAACAGACGAGGAGCUUGCUCCUUUGACGUUAGCGGCGGACGGGUGAGUAACACGUAGGUAACCUACCUAUAAGACUGGGAUAACUUCGGGAAACCGGAGCUAAUACCGGAUAAUAUUUCGAACCGCAUGGUUCGAUAGUGAAAGAUGGCUUUGCUAUCACUUAUAGAUGGACCUGCGCCGUAUUAGCUAGUUGGUAAGGUAACGGCUUACCAAGGCAACGAUACGUAGCCGACCUGAGAGGGUGAUCGGCCACACUGGAACUGAGACACGGUCUAGACUCCUACGGGAGGCAGCAGUAGGGAAUCUUCCGCAAUGGGCGAAAGCCUGACGGAGCAACGCCGCGUGAGUGAUGAAGGUCUUCGGAUCGUAAAACUCUGUUAUUAGGGAAGAACAAACGUGUAAGUAACUGUGCACGUCUUGACGGUACCUAAUCAGAAAGCCACGGCUAACUACGUG